AAUGUUUCAUUCCCUUCUCCAAUCGAGCGUGGGAUUUCACAAUCCACCCUCCUUGUGACCUAACAUACUCGUUGCACAGGGCCUGGUGUCUGACUUUGAUACCGUUUGUAACAGUCCAAGCCUAUCGUUUGUAACAGCACAGCGUGCUUUUGGGCUUCCACACUGACCCGUCAACUGACCCUACCCGCCUAGUGACCCGAAAGUCAACACCGGCCUGACCCGACCCAUAUAGCUGAUUCCGACUCACUACCCAAACCAGAUCCGAAGGACUUGAAGAUCUGGAAAGGAAUUAAAAAUUUGUUAAAGACCCUCCCUCAAGAUUUUAAAAUGCCUCUUCAUGCCUCUUCUAGAGAGAUGUUUUCACAAUGUUUCGUUUCCCCUCUCCAACAGAUGUGGGAUCUCACAAUAUCAUUCGGGUUUUUAUGCAAAAUCUGCACUCAAUUUUAGUGGACAUCUGAACGUCAUUUAUCAGUUUAGCAACUGCAAUCAAAUUAUGCAUUCCUUUUCUCCCCAUUUUCUUGGCCGCUCUUGUUUGUGUGCUUGUCUAUAAAACAAAACAAACAGAGUGCCAUUAUAUGGAUAUAACAGUACCUGGAAAGAAUGUUUCUGAGGAAGUGACUCGUGAGUCGCUUAUCGCCAUCUCUUACUCAGAACCAGAAUCAGCUCUCUCUUCAAAGCGACCAUCUGGAAAGCUCAAUAGCAAAAACCUCAAUCUGGUGGAAGGGAAAGAAUUUGAUGCAGAUGAGAAAUAUAGAUCUGAGCUGAUUGCUAUUUCCUUCCUCGAGUCGCCACCCGAAAUUGGAAGUGUACCCGUCGGCAAACUCAAAGGUUAGCACCUGGAUGUUCGUUAUCGUAAUUGUAUACACUCUUAUGUAGAAAUGAUGCUAAUCUAAGUGUGUUGUUGCAACCAUGGAGCAAUCGUGUCCAUGUUCUUUGGUUCUGUAACUUAGACCCUCCACUGGUUCUGUACUAUCUUUAUCUUUUGAAAACGUAUUGCCGUGUGAGCCCAAUGAAUGAACUUAUGAACCCUUGCUACUUAGCUUUAUUAUGGUGCCUUAAUGAUUGUAUAUAGCUUAUACAUUGUAUCUUAUAAUAGCUUGUAUAUGAAUCUUAGCGAGAUA